rnacentral:rRNA from 1 species
GACGAACGCUGGCGGCGUGCUUAACACAUGCAAGUCGAACGGAAAGGCCUGCUUUCCCUUGUGGAUUGCGGGUGCUCGAGUGGCGAACGGGUGAGUAACACGUGAGUGAUCUGCCCCCAACUUGGGUAUAAGCCUGGGAAACUGGGUCUAAUUCCCGAUAGGACUGCAGGGUGGUGCCUGUGGUGGAAAACGAUUUUCUAGUGGUUGGGGAUGAGCUCGCGGCCUAUCAGCUUGUUGGUGGGGUAAUGGCCUACCAAGGCGGCGACGGGUAGCCGGCCUGGGAGGGUGGACGGCCACAUUGGGACUGAGAUACGGCCCAGACUCCUACGGGAGGCAGCAGUGGGGAAUAUUGCACAAUGGGCGGAAGCCUGAUGCAGCGACGCCGCGUGGGGGAUGACGGCCUUCGGGUGGUAAACUCCUUUCGACCGCGAGGAAGCCGCCUGGUUGGAAGGGUGGUGACGGUAGUGGUAGAAGAAGCACCGGCUAACUACGUG